rnacentral:rRNA from 1 species
UUCCAGGCAAAUCCGGAAAAUCAAGGCUGAGGCGUGAUGACGAGGCACUACGGUGCUGAAGCAACAAAUGCCCUGCUUCCAGGAAAAGCCUCUAAGCAUCAGGUAACAUCAAAUCGUACCCCAAACCGACACAGGUGGUCAGGUAGAGAAUACCAAGGCGCUUGAGAGAACUCGGGUGAAGGAACUAGGCAAAAUGGUGCCGUAACUUCGGGAGAAGGCACGCUGAUAUGUAGGUGAAGUCCCUCGCGGAUGGAGCUGAAAUCAGUCGAAGAUACCAGCUGGCUGCAACUGUUUAUUAAAAACACAGCACUGUGCAAACACGAAAGUGGACGUAUACGGUGUGACGCCUGCCCGGUGCCGGAAGGUUAAUUGAUGGGGUUAGCGGUAACGCGAAGCUCUUGAUCGAAGCCCCGGUAAAC